rnacentral:ncRNA from 1 species
CAACCGUUUCGCAAAAUGUUUUGCCGGCCGACCAAGUUAAUGCUUGUUUGUUGUUUUUUAAAAAGCAAACGGAACAAAUAAAACGGCGGGGCUUUGUGGGAAGGAGGGUAAAUUUGUGAUGAAAAAGUUUUGGCUUUUUGUCUCCAAUUGCCGGUGCCCAUUGCCCGCAUUCUUCUCGGAUGAAUGUUGUUGUUGACAAGGAUGAAAAAGCAUUGUUUCUGCGUUCAAUUGUAAAUGGGUCUGUUGGGUUCCGUUGCGUUCGUGGGUUUUCGGCUCACGAUUUGGUCUGGUACGUCGGGGAAAAAAAGUCAAUUAUGAAUGUAAUUGAUCUGACUACCGUGCGUAACGGAAUUCAAAUGUGUGUUUGAUGGACUUUUAUUUGCAAUCGGCGCUCAAUGUGUUUUCUUAUAUCGGUGGCGUCAAUGUUAGCCUCCCAUCCGACCCGUCUUGAAACACGGACCAAGGAGUUCAGUAGGCACGCGAGUCGUUGACGUUUUUCAUUGAACAGUCGAAGGCGAAAUGAAAGUGUUAAUGAAAAUGAACUGUACUUCUUUAUGGAGUGCUGUUCAAUUUUUCAACAUGAUCGUCCUUUUUUGUGCUUAAUUGUGCAAAAUAAUAGAUGUAUGGGGACGCGCAGUGUGGUGCCGUUGAAUAGUCGCACUGUUCUCUCUUUCUCUUCGGGGUUGGAGGAACAAUUGUCGAUCAGUCGGUUUCGGAGCGUGCACACUGGUACCCGAAAGAUGGUGAACUAUGCUUGAGCAGAAUGAAGCCAGAGGAAACUCUGGUGGAAGUUCGUAGCGGUGUUGACGUGCAAAUCACUCGU